GUUUAAACGAUUUGUACCUAUUAUUCGUUGCCAUGUUCUUUAUCUGCAAACUCCCAUUUGAACAUUUUAGCUUAUGGUGUUUGCAAAAAUGUGAACAAACCAAGAACUUUACUUAGAAAUAAGAGCUAUUAAAAGAGGUGAUUCAGUCCCUGAGGUAGGAUACUGAGAACCAAUAUGAGCAUCUCAUUUUCAGCUAAGGAGACCCAGGAAAGAAAAUGGACCAAAAUGGCAAUGAUGAUGGGCUUUGCCACUAUUUACACAAGAGGACAGCCUGAAUUCUGACUAUACCUCUAGGGAUUAUGGGAAUCCUAUGUCUUCACCAGACAUCAGUCUCUCCAUUUCUUCAUCUUCAUAAAUAGAAAAAUUGCAUACUCUUCUGUAAAGGGUUCUGACCUUACCUCAAAUGGAUGUUCUUCCUCUGCCCUUACACUCUAAAGAUGAAGAACUACUGCUCUCGACCCCUAGGACAACUUUCUCUGAUACUGUAGAACAACCAUUGCAUCAGGCCAGUUAUUUCCCAUAAUUAAAUAACUGAUUCAGUCCAAAUGGUCAGUCAUGCUGCUCCACAGUAAUAUAGAAAAGGUGCAUUGUAUCUAAUGAAAACAAUGUAUUGUGCAGACUAAUAAAUCCUCAAGAUAACCAUUAUCGUUCCUAUUCGUGCUUAUAAUGAAAGAAAUAUGCUUUCUACAAUGUUAUUUCAUUUAUUUCAUCUCCAGGAAUGUGUACUAAUUAAAUAAUCGAGCACAGAAGAGGAGAAAAUAGUCUUCCAGUGUCAGUCCUUAGCUGGAACUUCCUCCAUCUGACACCCAAACAAGCCUUGGAAUUUAAGUCUUGAAAUUCUCAGAAGUUUUCCAAGUGACUACAUAUGGACUUACAUCAAGAAAAGGAUUAUUUGUGGGCCAGCACUGUGGCCUAAUGGGUAAAGCCGCCGCCUGCAGUGCAGGCAUCUCAUAUGGGCACAGGUUCAAAUCCCAGCUGCUCCACUUCUGAUCCAGCACUCUGCUAUGGCUUGGGAAAGCAAUAGAAGAUGGCCACGUUGUUGGGCCCAUGCACCCAUGUGGAAGACCCAGAAGAAGCUCCUGGCUCCUGGCUUCUGCCUGGCCCAGCUCCAGCCAUUGCAGCCACUUGGGGAGUGAACUAGUAGAUGGAAGACUUUUCUCUGUCUCUUUGCCUCAGCCUCUCUGCAACUCUGACUUUCAAAUAAAUAAAUAAAUCUUUAAAAAAGAUUAUUUGUAUUGGAGUGAAAUGGACAUUUUGAGAGGUGAUGAUUGUUUACAGCCCUUGUCUCGUCUAUUGAGGAACAGUGGUUUUUUUUCUUCACACUGUUUGUUGAACUCUUACUUCGUGCAGGGUUAACUUUGUGUUCAUUAAGUAAACUGAAAUUAGAACUUUGUAAAAAUUAGGAGUGGGAAUGGGAAAAGAAGGAGGAAGAGGGGUUGGAGUAUGGGCAGGAAGGAGAGUAGGGUGGGAAGUAUCACUAUGUUCUUCAACCUGUAUAUAUGAAAUACAUAAAACGUGUAUAACUUAAAUAAAAUUUUUAAAAAAGAAAAGAAUUAAUGUUAACAUCUAAAAAUAUAUUAAAUAAAUAAUUGGCCUAUUUCUC